rnacentral:tRNA from 3 species
CGCUUUAGCUCAGCUGGUAGAGCAUCGCAUUCGUAAUGCGGGGGUCACAGGUUCGAGUCCUGUAAGCGG